rnacentral:lncRNA from 1 species
AUCCAGAAGCCAGGGGAUUCCAAAGCUGCAAGCCUUUCCAGCAAACUGAAACAGGUUGGUCACCCUACAAGGACCUAGCUAGAGUGGUUAUUUAUUCCACUACAGAGAGCUGCCACUCCACCAGGAUACCAAGAACUUUUAUGUGCCAGUCACAGAUACACAGCUAGCUGAGAUGAUAGUUCCUGAAUACUCUGUUUUCAAAGGGUCAAGUAACCUUUGUGCUCCCUGGCAUGAAGGUCAGCUCACAGUUGCCCACUCUAUGGUCUAUUUGCAUGGCUUGCAGUGGGGAUGGUGGGCUUCAGUCUUGGGAGAGUUGGCAGGGCAGCUUCCAUCAGCCACUCCCAGCCAUCUGUACAACUUGUAAGAUGAGCGAACAUGAGUCAUCUCUGCUGCAGCAGCGCAAAGCACCCAUGGGGAGUUUAACCUCCGCCUAUUUCUAGAGAGGCAUUUAACGAAGACUGACCUAAUUCAAGCAAAAAUAGGUCUCGAUUAGUGUGUGACUAAUCUGCUGAUUUUUCUAGUUACGAAAGAACCUUUCACCAUGUUUGGCAACUAGCGUGAGGUGCUUGGUUAUGGCAAAGUUGCACUUUGGUUGUGUUAAUACUUCUCCUUAUUCUUCUUCCUUUCCCUCCCUCUCCUACUCACUUUUCUCUCUCCCUGUCUCAAGGAAAUUUAGGGGCUAGGAACCAAUCGUGGUGCCUGAAAACCCUCUCUUAUCGCUGGAUCUGGCAGAGUAGCUCUCAUUUUGCAUUAAAUAAAUAAGGAAAUUAGAAGUGAAGAAUAAAUAAAUGAAGGCUUUUCUCUGAGACAAGAGUAGAGGCAUUGUUUAAAAAUAGGUGUGUAAUAACCUAUUUGGACUGAUGUGAUCACAGCAUCUCUUAUGUGAGGGAUGAGGGCUUUCCCUCUUAACAGGAGACAGCACUUGUAUGCUUGGAGUGAUACACUUUGAAGAUGGAGGAAGGGUUCACAAGCCAAGGGAUACAGGUGGCCACUAGAAGCUGAAAAAGGCAAGGCAAGGAAUUCCAGAAAGAACUGGCCCUCCUACACCUUGGCUUUAGUCUAGUGAAACUGAUUUUGGACUUCUGAACUCCAGAACUAUAAGAGGAUAAAUGUGUAUGGUUUCAAGCCACAAGUUUGUAUAAUUUGUUGCAGUAGCCAAAGGAAAUAUACACCAUUUUAACUAACUUGCUUGCUCAUUCUUUGGAAAUUACAGAUUCCUAUGUGUGCCCCACCAACCAGUCAUCAGAUCCUGCCCAGUCCUCUCCUAAACAGACUUCUCCGUCCUGUCCGCGUCUCUCCAUCUCUGCUGUCCUCAUCUUUGCCCAGGCUCCCCUCACCUGCUCUCCUAAAUGAAUCUCUCCCCUUUGAACUCCAUUCUCCUCACUUCUCCCCUAGUGUUUCUGUUUUGUUUUUUUGCAGAUCAAACCAGGUUAUUCCUCUGCUUCAGACCACCUCAGUGGCUGCCCACUGAUGUCAGUAUAAGGGGAUAAAGAGUCACAGGUCAGAAGGUUUGUUACCACGGUUCCCAGAGGCUCCUGGGAAACAGCUCCUCUUGGGUUCUUCUGAGCGCUUAACAGAGGGGUUUGGCUGGGCUGUGUUAGGCUGGGGAGAGGGGUGGAGUCAAAGGUGAUAAGUGGGAGCUGUUGUCCAGGCUUCGGGGUCACCCUGUAUGAGCCGUUGUCAUAACGGUGUGAUCUCAACAUUAAUGGGAUGCAUGAGCAGAGGCAUUCCCUGGCGCUUUUUCAGAUUCACCUACACUGAGAAUGGCUUCAGUGUCAUGUUUGGGAGUGGAACCUAGAGGAGAUGGUUAAGCCUCCACAGGGUCUGAUGUGACCCUCACUCACUCAUAUUGUCUAUCACCUUUAGCUGUGAAUUCUCAGUGUGAAAUUUGGUGGCCAGAAAAUUGUAUCUCUGUCUUGGAGAAUGUUGUUAUUUCUCUUUGGUGUACACCAACUAUCCUUUGUUCUUUAUCCUUUAGAUAGAACACCUGGUCUGACUUACCCAUAUCUGUGUCUAGUUGUCCCAUAAUUUAAUACUUGCCAUUGCCAUUGGCUAACACGGUGGUUGGGUGAAGGCUGAGCUCUGAACACAACUUCUGUGCUCUCCCUUAAGGCUCCAGCCUUAUCCCUUCACACUCCCUCUCAAACCCUGCCCUUGAACCACUGCAAACUAUUUUCUCCCACAACUCCACCUGGCAGUCUCUUCCCCAUCCUUAUGGCCCAUCUAACCCCUGUCAUCCUUCUGGCCUCAAUUCAAAUACCAGCUCUUCCCAGAGGCUGUUUCUGACUCCCAAACCCCUCCUCAGGGCUUCUGUAGUGUUCCCCACCCUAUAAGAAUCACACUGUGUGGCAACGGUUUAUUUGUUGUCUGGAACUCCGUUAGAUGGUGGAUAGUCGAAGCCACUGCUUUACCUGGCUUGUUUAUUAUCAAAACCCUAGUGCUUGGCACCAUGGCACAUGAUUAAUAAAUACGUCUGACAAAUGGGUGAAUAGAUUCAUAAUAAUAGCAAUCAUGUUUUACGGAAUGUUUGCCAUGUGAUAGGCACCAUGCCAAGUAGUAUGUGUGUGUAUACUGUUGACCAUUGAACCACAUAGGCUUGAACUUGUAUGCAGGCUUUUUUCAAUAAAUACAGUACCCGUAUUUUCAUUUUAUGGACUCUUAUUUAUUUAUUUGGUCUUUUUUAGGGCGGCACCUGUGUCAUGUGGAAAUUCCCAGGCUAGGGGUCAAAUCAGAGCUAUAGCCACUGGCCUAUACCAUAGCCACAGCAACGUGGGAUCUGAGCAGCAUCUGUGACCCACACCACAGCUCAUGGCAACGCUGGAUCCUUUAACCCCCUGAGAGAGGCAAAUGAUUGACCUGCGUCCUCAUGGAUCCUAGUGGGGUUCAUUACCACUGAGCCAUGAUGGGAACUCCAGGUUUUUUUUAGAUUUUUAAAUUAAAAUAACGUUUGUGUUGAUUCAGAAAUCACAAUAUGUAGAAUCAAAAGAACUAAGGUUUGACUCCUGAUUCUAUCCAUAUUGUUUCAGCUUCCUGUCCUUGGUUGAGUCAUUUGUCAGUUCCUAUAUUUUUGAGACAGAGAGAGCAGUAGGCGGAUUUUGGAGGCUUAGGUGAUUGGUGUCCCUAAACCUGCAUUGCUCAAAAGUCAACUGUAAUAUCUAAUCCUAAGUACAACUAUACUAGGUUUGUCUUGUUAUUCUAAUUCUAUAGUUGGGAAAACCAAGGAUUAGCGGCUAAGUAACAUAGCCACAAUCACGAUUCAAUGUGUAACUGGAACUUGGCCCAGAUCUACCUGUUUACUGAGCUGUGUUUCUAUAAGGCACCUUUCCUCUCAGACCCCGCCCAGCCAUUCACAGUGUACUUCAUCCAAGUCAAGCCAUUAGAUCUAGAGGCCAAGGAAAGCAGCGUUUCCUGUGGCCUGGGAACUGGGCCUGGAUUCUGCCCUUUAUUUCCAGGACUCAGUAGUUUGAUGUCUCAGCUCUUCCUCUGAAUUCCUUUGAUGCAAGAGCUCUGUUUCACACCUGAUGUUUCCCUAAAACCUCCUGGGACUGUUGCAGGGGUUGUAAAUGGGGAUGGUGCUGGGGGAUGUGAAGACUUGGAUUUUUUUGUGUGCUUAUUUCAAAGGAGAGAGUCCAUUGCUUCCAUUAGAUUUCCAAAGGAAUUUUCUGGAUGUGUGAGCAAAAGGGCUCCCUGGGUAUUUUUCAGCCUGUUUUCUUCCCUUCUGUUUUGAAACUUGUGUUAGGGUUGCUGGAGCCACUUCAAGAGCCUACAGUGGUUGUUUAGAUUCACAGGAGAUCUCCUUGAUCUCUGGAAAACCCAUGUUUGAGUUUUUCUAAAUCUUACAUCCCUCACAUCUGAACAAGAUUGGGCCAGAACUGACAUCUAGGCUCCUGCCUGCUCUAACAGUCUGGUUCUGUGAUUCCUGUGUGUAUAGAAUCAUUUAAAUGUCAGCAGACAGGGGCAGCAGUUAUUUUUGCAUAACCAUGUGGUCUUGCAUGCAGAAGCAGAGGCCAGAGAUUUGGAAGCAAUGCCCCGAGGCCUGGGUGUCCCCUUCCUAGAUGGACUGACAGUCGUUGAUUCACACUGCUCUGUCCUGUUGGUACCCUAACGAUUCUGCAAAGCAUUGUACAGUCUAGUUAUGUCUAGUCAUGCCUGGUGAACAAAGCGUUUUUAUUGACCACCUAGCAGUGUUUUUUUAAAAGGAUUAAUCUGACUCUUCUUUCUUUUAAUGGAGUGACAAUCAAGCCAUUGAUGCUGAAUUUAUGUUUCUCUUACAUGUGCCUUUGAUUUGUGAGUUGCUUCCUAUGUCACACUGCCUUGGAUAUGGCUGUGUUUCUAUAUUUACUGUGUUUUAAUGUUUCCAUUAACUUUAUUGCUACUUUUACAAUUACUAUCUCCACUAGCAUUUCUUCCAUCCUGUUAUUAAACGAAUAUGGAAAUUAGAAGUGAAGAAUAAGCAACUUAGGAUUUGUUUCUUUGGAGGCAUUAUAUAGAAAUAGUUAGAGAACAAUGAUUUGCCUGUUUUUAUUUAUUUAUUUAUUUUUAUCUUUUUGCCUUUUCUAGGGCCACCUCUUGUGGCACAUGGAGGUUCCCAGGCUAGGGGUCUAAUCAGAGCUGUAGUCGCCGGCCUCCACCAGAGACACAGCAGUGCAGGAUCCAAGAUGCGUCUGCGACCUACACCACAGCUCACGGCAAUGCCAGAUCCUUAACCCACUGAGCAGGGCCAGGGAUCCAACCUGAAACCUCAUGGUUCCUAGUCGGAUUCACUAACCACUGAGCCACGACAGGAACCCCUGAUUUGCCUGUUUUUAAAGUUAAUUUCUUCCCUUCUCAUUAGAUUCUGUCUAAGGAUCAGAUUGUCCUCUGUUUCACUAAUGGAAGAGGAGCACAUCUUUGUGGUUAGAACAUGUCUCUAAAGAGUUCAGUUCCUUGGGUUUAGGGGGGUUGGAGAACUCCUACAUGAUGAUAAGGAUGGUGUUCCCAGACUUUUAUCGAAUGACUGUUAGGGGGCAGACACUGACUAUUCUCUUUACAUGCAGUAAUCUGUCCUCUCCAUACAACCACCCUAUGAGGUUGUUGCUACUAUUGUUCCCAUUUUAAAAAUGAAGAAAGUAUGUUUUAGGCUAAGAGGCUUGCUCAAGGGCACACAGUGAAGGAUUGGUGCACCGAUUUGACCUUUGUUGGGUCUGACUCCAGCACUUGCAAUUACAGCCUCUCUUUUCUUCUUUCUCUGUGCUGCCUCUUAUGCUUGGGGUGUUCCAGAGUCAGCUACAUCUGUGACUAGUCCCAGCAUUUUGCGUUGAAGGAACAGACACCUUUAGUUUGGGAGUUUGCACAGCUUAUUAACAAAGGAACGUGGUAUGCAAGUAAAGACAAGUUUGUAAUAUCCUAGAGGCAAACUUUAGGUUAAAGGCCAUGUGUUGGGGUAACCAACAGAUGCUCAGAAGCAUAAUACAGAAACACCAGAAAAAAAAAUAGCAUCUAUUUUUCUUUACAUGGGUUUCCCAGUGCCAUUACCCUGUGAAAUACCAUGGACCUAAGGUCUAUAUUAGGAGAAAACAUAGAAAAAAAAAUCACCAAUCCAUGUAAAAAUUCCUUGCAGACCAGCCUUUGCCUUAACAAACCAAUUAGUCAUCCUAUUAAAAAUAUGAAGAUAAGGAAAACCAUUGCUCACAUUCUAUCUUUCCUGAUCCUGUGGUGAUGGAAGCCAUGGCAAAGAAACAGCGACUGGAAAAUGAUAAAAACCUGAGAGUUGAACAAGAUUUUGCAAGUUUUCAAUCCAGCCUCCAAGGACCUAGACCAUUUUCUUAUAAUUAAGACCAUCUAAAAUAUGGUGCAGUCAUUCUUGCUUCAUAAAACAGUAUUUCUUAGGGCUUGAGAAGCUCUCUUUGAUGGAACUGCAGAAAUGGGAGACUUAUCCUAGGAUUCUGUUUUUUAUUUAAUUGAUAAUAUAAGUAUUCAGCUUAAGAUAAUAAGCCUAACACUAGGAUGAGAAGAUGUUGCUGCUGCCCCAGGGAGAAUGAGACAGAAAGUUGUUCUCCAAAUGGAGAACUUAAGGGAUCACUAGACCCAGGGACUGAUUCUUUUUAUUAAGGAAGCUUCGAUGGUUAAAUGAGAAGUGACAUGGGCACAAGCAAAGAAUGGACAAGUCUUUCCCAGAAGCCUUGGGGAGUCUGCUCCAUACUGAACUUGGCAGCUAAGCUGGUGUCCCAUUAUCUUUCCCUUCUUUGGGGAGGGAGGCUGGUAAUAGUUCUUCUAGUCCUGGAGCCGCAUUUGUGGAGUUCCUGUCGUGGCUCAGGAAACAAAUCUGACAUCCAUGAGGACGCAGGUUUGAUCUCUAGCCUUGCUUGGUCAGUUAAGGAUCCAGUGUUAUGAUCCAUUGGUCAAAGACAUGGCUCGGAUCUGAUGUUGCUGUGCCUCUGGUGUAGGCCAGUGGCUUCAGCUCUGAUUUGACCCCUAGACUGGGAACCCCCAUGUGCCA